UCCCUUUGUUUUCGUUCCCGAUGCUGUCUCAUUACUUGUAUGAAUCAGAUUUCUUCUCCUUUUGUUCAUGUAGUUUUUUUUUUCACCAAACUUUUCCUAUGCGCCAACAAUUCGAAAUCCAUCUAGGAAUGGAUUACUCUUUGUUGUGGCAUCUACUCCAACCUGAUUUUGCCUUCAACACAGUUCUAACUCUGUCAAAUUACAAUCGGCCAUCUUCGGAGAUGUUGUCUCAAUCAUGCAAUAUUCGUCCUUACAAUAAACUGGUGCCUGCAAUAGUUCCAAGACCUAGCAGAGACACUCUCUCUUCCUCUGAGGUAGCGGAUGGGGAGGUUCUUGCAGAAACACUACCUUCUCUUCAAGCUCAAGAAAAAGCUGAUGAUACAACCAAUUAUAUCAUUGAAACAGCUAUUGAGGAUUUUGAAUCAAUUGAAAUUGAUCAACAAAUUGACAAUAUGCCACCAGAAACAGCGCCUUCUGCAGAACAAGAUCAUCACUUUGAGGAUUCUGUCAAAGACUUAAAUAAUGGCCUGCUGCAGGUUACAGAUUAAGGUGUGAAGUGCUGGAAAGAAAUAACGGCCCAUGUUUGCCAAAAAUUGUGCUACAGAUAAAGUGUUUGCUCUUCAAAAGAUAAUGAUGUCCAAGAAGUUCUUAGUGGAAGCAUGAUACAAUCUGGAGUUUCUUAGUAUUGACAAGUUCUCAAUCAAGAAGCUAUACUUGAAGAUGUUAGGAGGAAUCUCAGAAAGUUCUAUGAUUAAGAAAUAUUUGUAAUAAAUUUGGAGUUCCUAAGUGGUGCUUCAUGGUGAUGGAAGACCAAAUAAAUACAAAGGAUAAGUGAGGUAUAUUAUAGCUAACAGUGAGUAUAUUCUUUGUAGGAUGGCUAAUGAACUUUAGAUGAAACUUAUUUUUCAAUGUGUUUUCUCUUCUACUAUACAUCUAAAUUAUUGCAAUGGCUCAGAAUAUGUAGACGAGCUUUAUAGGAAGAAGUGGAGUGGACAGUUAUGAAAUAUGAAUCAUGAAUGGAAAAAAAGAAUUAAGGUAGAGGUUUAUAGGAUGACACUGUAAGGAUAGCAUAUGCUAAAUUUCAUUAAAGUAUGGCUAGCAUAUUAUUAAUUGAUUUUAUAUUUAUAUGUAUGAAAUUAUAUAAUUACUUUUUUAUACAUAUUAUUUGAG